rnacentral:snRNA from 1 species
GACCUAUCUCAUUUAAUGCCAGGGCCUUACACAAGACCCGAGGUACAAUUUUUGGAGACUUGUUCAUUAGAACAAGUUA